UUUUUUUUCCUUCUUCUUCGCCGCUCUCCUGAGUCUCCUCCUCCAUCACCGUGUUCAUAAGAACACACCACCAAAUCCAUCACUGUUUGUUUGAUUCAUUCAAUAAGUUAACAAGAAGUCUAUAAUAGUUAAAUUUAGACUGAGGAGUGAAUUGGGUACCCGAAAUCUCGAUCUAUUUGUUAUGAAUCUUCUGAUUCCUUAAUCAUUUGAUUAGCGUUACUUGGUCCUAUUAACAAUAAUGCCACCACAAGUGCUGCUGCCAUGGAAUAGAAGAUCAAGAUUCAAGAUUUUGUAUUUGUCAUUGCCACCACUGUCCAGUCAUUGCACCAGUGCAUUGUUUGUGUUGAUUAAGACAAUAAAACUUAAGAAUUAAGACUAUUGUAGUAUUGUUUGUGUUGGUCAGUGUGUGUGUUUGUGUGCUACUACUACUUGUUCUUUUUUCAGAUUUUCAGGACUUUGUUUGUUUGGCACUUUGAUUUGCUAGUAUUAUUGCUACUUGUUAGUUGUUACUUUGUUCUUUGAUUGAGAUA